rnacentral:rRNA from 1 species
UACAGAGGUGGCAAGCGUUGUUCGGAAUUACUGGGCGUAAAGGGCGCGUAGGCGGCCAUCUAAGUCAGACGUGAAAUCCCCCGGCUUAACCUGGGAAAUGCGUCUGAUACUGGAAGGCUUGAGUACGGGAGAGGGAUGUAGAAUUCCAGGUGUAGCGGUGAAAUGCGUAGAUAUCUGGAGGAAUACCGGUGGCGAAGGCGGCAUCCUGGACCAUUACUGACGCUGAGGCGCGAAAGCUAGGGGAGCAAACGGG